GGCCCAUACAGGCUUAUCAUAUGACCUUGUAACUGCUUUCAUGUUGACUUCUCCAGGACUCAAAGAACAGUCAAGGGCAAUGCUAAGCAACACCAGCCAUCACCAUCCGGCUCUCCACUCCGACCUUCAGUAACCACUCACUUACCCAACAGAUAUACACUGAGCACCUACUAUGUACAGGUUCAAGCCAACAGCCAUGUGGGUGAGACCUCCUGGAGGCAGAUUGUCCAGGCUCAAUCAAAG